UACGUAGGGGGCAAGCGUUGUCCGGAAUCAUUGGGCGUAAAGCGCGCGUAGGCGGCCCGGUAAGUCCGGUGUAAAAGUCAAAGGCUCAACCUUUGAAAGCCGAUGGAUACUGCCGGGCUAGAAUCCGGAAGAGGCGAGUGGAAUUCCUGGUGUAGCGGUGGAAUGCGCAGAUAUCAGGAGGAACACCAAUGGCGAAGGCAGCUCUCUGGGCCGUAACUGACGCUGAGGAGCGAAAGCAUGGGGAGCGAACAGG
rnacentral:rRNA from 1 species